UACUCUGGGCACUGGGGCCCUUGGCCCCACAGGAGGGACAGGAAGGGGAAUCUUCAGUGGCAACAGUGGUGACAGAGCUGCAGCACCUGCAGACCAGAGGAGAGGGACACAAAGCCCAGGCGGGCUUUUGAAUGCUACACACCUUUCCUGCCUAUCCCCAGGACACAAAUGAUCUGGAGACAAGUGUCAAGUUGUACAAAAGUAUCUUUACACGUGGGCCUAGAACACACAUUCACAAACACUCUCCCCCCCAUAGAAAGACAACUUGAAUAUUCCAUCCUACACAGCUAUCUCCUCUACAAAGACAUUAAAAAGUUAAUCUGUGGUACUAAAUGCAGAAAGAUAUUCUCUGCCCCUUAUAACACUCAAUGAUCAUUUUUGCUUAGUAGCCCUGAAGGAAGGCUACUUAGGGAAGUUUCCAUAUCCCAUCACUGAAUCUGGUCAGUUGCGUGGAUGAGAACAUCCUGCUGAUUUGUCUCCUCCAGGCUGCACUAUGUCCCUUUGUACACUUGGGAUAUAUAGGACUGAGGUAACUUCUAGCACCAGUGAAUUAACUAAUGUUUUCUAUGAUGUUUAGAUCAUUCUAUAGUGAGUACUCCUAGCCAGCCACUAUCGUCUGCAAAGCUCAGGAAGCAUGAGUCCAAGCUGACCAGGGACUACUGUGUUCUUCAAGCCAUGCAGGGGGGCUUCCUACUUGGGCUCCAAAACCUCAGCAAUGUUUCACUUGGACAUCUUUAGCAAAAUAAACAUUGGAAUUCAAAUAUGCCUUCAUGAAGUUUAUCUUCAAUUAAGGCCUGUGUACUGUACUUUUGUGAAGAAUUUAAGAUGUCAAAAAGACAUUCUGUGUUCUUCUAGGCUGUGUCCCAAGAACCCCUUUCUUUGAAAGAGCUUCUCAAUAUUAUAGGUGUAACCUUUUCCCAUUAUAAAUCACAAAGUGUUAGCCAGUUGACAAGGACAAACAGUUAAUUCUCCUCUCGAAGGUGCAUGUGGAAUGGUACUGAGAUUCUUUCCUUGUUCACUGUACUCAGGUACAUAAUUUAUGCAGGCCUUUCAACUACCAAGUAAGGUUUGCAUAUAUGAGACUUGUGUCAAUAUGUGCAUAGCAGCUCAUUCCAGUCUUCUUCCAGCUGAUAACACAGACCACCAGGGCUGGAAGAAACCCCAGAAAUCGUAUAAUCAAACUCACUCAUUUUAGACAUAAAAGGAGCUACAAUAUGCUGGGACUACAGUUAGACUGCCUGGGUUCAAAUCAUGAUGUGACAGAAGGAAGAUGGCGGC